GUAGGUGGCUUUUUAAGUCCAUCGUCAAAUCUCAUGGCUCAACCCUAAACAGGCAGUGGAAACUACCAAGUUGGAGUAUAAUAGGAGUAGAGGAAAUUUCUGGUGGAGCGGUAAAAUGCGUAAAGAUUGGAAAGAACAAAAAUUUGGCACUUUCUAUUUAAAUAUAAAACAACAUUAUA
rnacentral:ncRNA from 1 species